UCAAUAAAUAAGAUUAGGCAAGUUGUUUAUCAUUCAUGUUUAUAUGUGUCCAUGAAUCAUCUAAGAAAUUAAUAGAUGAUGACACAUAUUCUCAAGGAGUUGAAAAUUUGAGGCAUGUGUCAUUAGGGAUUAAUUUCUAAAUGCUCCGAUCGAUGGAUCCAUCACGAGGGACGGUGAUUGAUCCACUGAGAUUAGUGAACAGAUCACUUAGUUAGAUGGACGAGUCUCGAGUCCACAGUGUAGAGACACUAGAGUGAUUAUGCGAGUACUUGUUAGAGAACAAGGUACUGAGCGUGACCAAAGAAAGUAGUCUAUCCACUCGUCAGUGACUACUUAUGCUGCAGUUGUAUGACUGAUCCUUUGACCUGCGAUGCCUCAGCUAUUCACUGUGAGGUUGUUGUAGUUUGACGAGCAUGUAAACUUGGGCCCUAGCCAUUCGGAUCCUUGUCGUGCGGAUUGGCUACAGUAGGUUCAUUUUGGAAUAGGGUUGCAUCUAGAUGAGAUCUAUCGACCUUGAUAGAUUAGGAGUGAUCCUAUAUGAUUUAUGAGACUGAGUUCGAUAAAUUUCUGGCCAGGCAUUUUGGAAAAAGAGUUUUCCAUAUCUCGAACUGGAAGUCG
rnacentral:lncRNA from 1 species